rnacentral:rRNA from 1 species
GACGAACGCUGGCGGCGUGCCUAAUACAUGCAAGUCGAACGAAGUUGUUUUAACUGGUGCUUGCACCGACUUAAACAACUGAGUGGCGAACGGGUGAGUAACACGUGGGUAACCUGCCCCAAAGCGGGGGAUAACAUUUGGAAACAGAUGCUAAUACCGCAUAACCACAGAAACCACAUGGUUUCUGUGUCAAAGAUGGUUUCGGCUAUCACUUUGGGAUGGACCCGCGGCGUAUUAGCUAGUUGGUAAGGUAAUGGCUUACCAAGGCAAUGAUACGUAGCCGAACUGAGAGAUUGAUAGGCAACAUAGGGACUGAGACACGGCCCAAACUCCUACGGGAGGCAGCAGUAGGGAAUCGUCCACAAUGGACGAAAGUCGGAUGGAGCAACGCCGCGUGAGUGAAGAAGGUUUUCGGAUCGUAAAACUCUGUUGUCAGAGAAGAACGUGUGCGAGAGUAACUGCUCGUGCAGUGACGGUAUCUGGCCAGAAAGCCACGGCUAACUACGUGCCAGCCGCCGCGGUAA